rnacentral:rRNA from 1 species
AUUGAACGCUGGCGGCAGGCCUAACACAUGCAAGUCGAACGGUAACAGGAAGAAGCUUGCUUCUUUGCUGACGAGUGGCGGACGGGUGAGUAAUGUCUGGGAAACUGCCUGAUGGAGGGGGAUAACUACUGGAAACGGUAGCUAAUACCGCAUAACGUCGCAAGACCAAAGAGGGGGACCUUCGGGCCUCUUGCCAUCGGAUGUGCCCAGAUGGGAUUAGCUAGUAGGUGGGGUAACGGCUCACCUAGGCGACGAUCCCUAGCUGGUCUGAGAGGAUGACCAGCCACAAUGGAACUGAGACACGGUCCAGACUCCUACGGGAGGCAGCAGUGGGGAAUAUUGCACAAUGGGCGCAAGCCUGAUGCAGCCAUGCCGCGUGUAUGAAGAAGGCCUUCGGGUUGUAAAGUACUUUCAGCGGGGAGGAAGGGAGUAAAGUUAAUACCUUUGCUCAUUGACGUUACCCGCAGAAGAAGCACCGGCUAACUCCGUG